rnacentral:rRNA from 1 species
UACGUAGGUGGCAAGCGUUGUUCGGAAUUAUUGGGCGUAAAGGGCUCGUAGGCGGUUUGUCGCGUCGGGAGUGAAAACCCAGGGCUUAACUCUGGGCUUGCUUUCGAUACGGGCAGACUAGAGGUAUGCAGGGGAGAACGGAAUUCCUGGUGUAGCGGUGAAAUGCGCAGAUAUCAGGAGGAACACCGGUGGCGAAGGCGGUUCUCUGGGCAUUACCUGACGCUGAGGAGCGAAAGUGUGGGGAGCGAACAGG